GGAGGGGAGCCGGCUCUGGGCCACGUGACGGGCUGGGGCACGGGGACUGGAAGGGACCUCGGAAGAUCAUGCAGUGCAAUCCCCCCACAGGAGCAGGAACACACAGAUGAGGUUACACAGGAAGGUGUCCAGACAGACAAGCUCCUUGGAUUGAUUCACUGCAGAGGCACUGAGGACCAUCAAGCUGAGGCACAAGGCGCGACGCCAUGGAUGGGGCUGCGGUGUCAGCACUGCAGUCCUGGCUCUGCACAACAGCUACCCCCUUCACACUGAGCAAAGCUCUGGCUUGAAGUCAACAGGCAGCUCCUCUCCUGCCUGAUUUGCAGCUCUCCAGAUACCCCAAAACUAAGUUGAUAGCAGUUUUCUCUGUGGAUAGUUUCCCUGUGCUCACAUCCGCAUUUGUUUUAAAACUGACAUCUAGACAAAACACGGUUACCAGUUCUUCAACUCUGGGCGAGACCCCUCUGCUAAUUCAACUAGCUGCCUACCUCAUCCAGGAAACACUCAAAACAUACCGUGAUUUUAAAAAAGCACCAGAUGCAAAAAAAAGGUGAGAAGCAGCAUUUUCAAUUAACCUGAACUGUAGAGCAUCCGCAGUGCAUUUUUUUUUACUGUGGCAUUAUAUGGUAAAUAUGGUAGCCUAAGGAUUGAGUUUGGAUAUAAAUACUAGUUUUCAUCAAAACAAUUAGUCUAAUAUCAAAGUCUGUCAAAUCCUUCACCACUUUCCACUUCUAGGUGCAGGCACCUCUGUACAUGUACAUGAAUUAAUUCAGAACGGUGUGUAACAUCCUUGAAAAGGUCCAGGUUAGAACUGCAGUAUUGGCUUUAAAUGCUUAAAACCUGCAGUAGCUUAACAGAAGUUACAAGGACUUCAUUCUUACAGCUGACAUGUUUGAGUUCUGCAUGCACAAAAUGCUGCCUUCUUCCCAAAUUCAACUAUAUUUACUGAGCAUGCCUAGGAGACAAAAUGAAUGUAGGAUUUUAUAGCAGCUUGAUAAUAGACUUACUCUUACCUGGAAAGCUGGGAUAUUUGGGUAAUUUAAGUUAGCACCUGAAACAUAUACCUUGUCAAGGCAAUCAUAGCUGCUAGUAGUAGGCUGCGAAUAGUUUACAUAAAAUAAAGAGUAGGGAAGGGGACUCCUAGAUAUCCAGGACACUGUUUCCCAAAGACAACUAGGAGUCAAAGGUUCAAGUAAGACCUUUAUUACAACACAGAGUUGAAAAGCACGUUUUCGUAUCUAAAAGAAAGUAUUUGGUCUCUUGGUAGUGAAACGUGGUUUGUGCUGGCGACGCAGAACUCUGUGAGGCAGAGGGAACUUGAUUUUAGAAUCCUGCAAGAAAAAAUGUUUCUAUGUUAAUUAACAUAUUAGACAAACAACAAAAUAUAGUUUGCAAUAUAUUGCUAAGCUAUAUUCAACUGCUCUUUAAUGUAUAGAGAAGCAAUGCAUCCACAGAUUACAUAUACUUCCUAGGAGCUAACAGAUGCCUUAGUUUUGCAAUUCUUUUUGAAAGUAACACCUCUUAAAGCCAAGUCUUCUGCAACAUUAUACACACUGGGUUUAGUUUUAUUUCCUUUCUAAAAGUUCCAGCAUUAAAAGUCUUGAUCAUAAUG